rnacentral:rRNA from 1 species
GGUGUGGGGGAUAACGUUCGGAAACGGACGCUAAUACCGCAUACGUCCUACGGGAGAAAGCGGGGGGAUCUUCGGACCUCGCGCCAUUAGAUGAGCCUAGGUCGGAUUAGCUAGUUGGUGAGGUAAUGGCUCACCAAGGCGACGAUCCGUAACUGGUCUGAGAGGAUGAUCAGUCACACUGGAACUGAGACACGGUCCAGACUCCUACGGGAGGCAGCAGUGGGGAAUAUUGGACAAUGGGCGAAAGCCUGAUCCAGCCAUGCCGCGUGUGUGAAGAAGGUCUUCGGAUUGUAAAGCACUUUAAGUUGGGAGGAAGGGUAGUAACCUAAUACGUUGCUACUUUGACGUUACCGACAGAAUAAGCACCGGCUAACUUCGUG